rnacentral:rRNA from 1 species
GACGAACGCUGGCGGCGUGCUUAACACAUGCAAGUCGAACGAACAGGCGAGGAUUUUGUUGCGCAGACGUUAGCGGCGGGCGGGUGAGUAACACGUGGAAAAUCUAUCUAUAAGACCGGAAUAGCUUCGAGAAACCGGAGCUAAUACCGGAUUAUAUAUUGAACCGCAUGGUGCAAUAGUGAAAGGAGGUUUUGGUGGCAGUUGUAGAUGGAGCCGAGCCGCAGUAGCUUGGUGGUAUGGUAACGGCUUACUAAGGCAACGAUGAGUAGUCGACCUGAGAGGGUGAUCGGCCACACUGGCACUGAGACACGGUCCAGACUCCUACGGGAGGCAGCGGUAGGGAAGCUUCCGAAAUGGGCGAAUGCGUGACGGAGCAACGCCGCGGGAGUGCUGAAGGUCUUGGGAUCGUAAAACUCUGUUACUCGGGAAGACCAAAUGUGUACGUAACUAUGCACGUCUUGACGGUACCUGAUCAGAAAGCCCCGGCUAACUACGUG